rnacentral:rRNA from 1 species
UACGGAGGGAGCUAGCGUUGUUCGGAAUUACUGGGCGUAAAGCGCGCGUAGGCGGCCUUGCAAGUUAGAGGUGAAAGCCCGGAGCUCAACUCCGGAACUGCCUUUAAAACUGCAUAGCUUGAAUCCGGGAGAGGUGAGUGGAAUUCCGAGUGUAGAGGUGAAAUUCGUAGAUAUUCGGAAGAAACACCAGUGGCGAAGGCGGCUCACUGGACCGGUAUUGACGCUGAGGUGCGAAAGCGUGGGGAGCAAACAGG